UACGUAGGGGGCGAGCGUUGUCCGGAAUCAUUGGGCGUAAAGAGCUCGUAGGCGGCUUGGCAAGUCGGAUGUGAAAACUCCAGGCUCAACCUGGAGCCGCCAUUCGAUACCGCUAUGGCUAGAGUCCGGUAGGGGAGUGUGGAAUUCCCGGUGUAGCGGUGAAAUGCGCAGAUAUCGGGAGGAACACCGAUGGCGAAGGCAGCACUCUGGGCCGGCACUGACGCUGAGGAGCGAAAGCGUGGGGAGCGAACAGG
rnacentral:rRNA from 1 species